CUCCUGAAAGAAGGUCACUGAUAAGCUUCACAGAGGGUUGGAUCUUGCUGUCAGUAACCACUCUUCUUCCCGUUGCUGGUUUGUUUUCUAUUCUCGGUGCUACUCGCCUGCCUGCCUCCCUGCCUCCCUGCCCAACACUUCACAGUGAGUGUACACGAAAUGGUUAGCCUCACACGGACCUCUAUUCCCCUCCAAACCUCGCCUUCUACCCAGACAAUGACUCAGAGAGAGAAACCCUGUAAUCCUGUACCUCGUGUGCCUGCUCCGGGAAAUUCCAAGUAUCGUGCCCAGGCUGUUUUUCCCCGCCAGAUAAAGAG